UUUUCUGAGAGAUCAUCAAACAGAAAGAGAAACAGAAACGGAGCGAUGAUGAACCGUCACUGUUCAACACACUUGACAGAUACGUGUCUCUCCCAGAGCCUCUCCCGCCCCGGGACUUCCCAGAGUUCCCGGCGUGUUUCCUCGCCACCUCGACCUCGGUCGACGUGCAACGUUCCCCGCAACCAGCUGUCGCGCUCCUCGUGUGAAACAGCUGUGGAGAGGGGAGAGGAACAUUUCUUCUUUUUUUUUAAAAGGGGUGCGACGGACGGGAGACAAUGAGUUGUUGGAGAGCAGACGUUCCGUUUUUAGCCUCACUGAGCCGUUUCCAGUGUCGUCCACAGAUUCCAGGGGAGUGUUUUCCGAGCUGCUGCCGCUGCAACUCGACACUCCCGUCAAAGAGCCUCUGAAAAUAAAGUGUUCAUCCUCUCGUCCAACGGAGGUGUUUUGCAUGUGGAGAUCCCAUGUGUGGGAAAACCUGGGGAAUGAUGAAGACCAGAGAUCAGACAGGACGAGGGACUGAUGAGCACAAAGUUUGUGUGAAGAAGAAAAAUGAUGUUGAUUCCUCGUGUGCCAGUGACGGAGGCGGGACGAGGCGGCUGCUCAGUGUCACGGCUCACUGACGACGACGACGACGACGAUGAUGACGAUGAUGAUGAUGAUGAUGAUGAUGAUGAUCACACCACUGCAGGUCUCACGUCAGUAUACACAGGUGGGAAGUACCUUACUCAAAUACUAGUAUACUUUGAGGUAGUUGUACUUCGCUGAAUUAGUUUAUUGAAUGAGUGGAAUAACUUUACAGAUCAGAUCAUUACAUUUAUCAUGAGUUCUUAUCAAGCUACUGCUGAUUCCUGGUAUAUCUUCUUUUUUUUAAGGUGUUUUACAAGUCAUUCAUUUCCUACAUUCUUUUCUUAACUGGUGUACGAUAAAACGGGAAGCUCCAGUGUUGCUCAAAAAGAAUUACAACACUUGCAUGGAAGUUUUUGUUGCCAGUUCUUGUAACAUAUGAUUUAGUUUCUCUGUUAUUUGUCAGUUAAACGAUUGGCAUUGGUGCAAAGAUUGGUCCUUGAUGUACCAACGGUGUGAGCCAAGUAAAUAAAAGUGCCAAUACCACGCUAUGACAAUUGUAUUUGACAGGAAAAUGUAUCAAAUAUGAAUGUGCAUUAACUUUAAUGUGCUUUUACGCUAUUAAUGUUUUUUAGCGUGUGGAGCAGCUUUAUAGUAACUAGAGCUUUUGGGUAAAUGGAGUAAUGGAGGCAAAAGUUCAGUAUUUCAGUAGCAUGAACAGGAAAUGGGCCAGUAACCUACUUCAAAUCCAUCUGUCGAUUAGGUUUCCCAUUUUAAAGUGUUAAAGUAAAAUCCUUUUUCUUUUCUUUUUGUGGAGUUUAAUUCAUGAAUAAAUAAAUCUACUCCUCUUAA